rnacentral:rRNA from 1 species
UACGGAGGAUCCGAGCGUUAUCCGGAUUUAUUGGGUUUAAAGGGUGCGCAGGCGGGAUGUUAAGUCGGCGGUGAAAUUUUGCAGCUCAACUGUAAAAGUGCCUUCGAUACUGGCUUCCUUGAGUGUGGAUGAAGUAGGCGGAAUUUGUGGUGUAGCGGUGAAAUGCUUAGAUAUCACGAGGAACUCCGAUUGCGCAGGCAGCUUACUAAACCACUACUGACGCUCAUGCACGAAGGCGUGGGGAUCAAACAGGAUUAGAUACCCG